CCCUUAGAUGUUCGGGGCUGCACAUGCGCUACACUGAAGGAAUCAACGUGUAUUUGCCCUUGCCCGAAAGGGUUGGGUAACCCGUUGAACCUCCUUCGUGCUAGGGAUUGGGGCUUGUAAUUAUUCCCCAUGAACGAGGAAUUCCCAGUAAGCGCGAGUCAUAAGCUCGCGUUGAUUACGUCCCUGCCCUUUGUACACACCGCCCGUCGCUCCUACCGAUUGAAUGCUCAGGUGAGCCAUUCGGACUUUCAUCAUGCUGGUUUCCAGUUUUGAUGAAGGAAAGUCUUGCGAACCUUAUCAUUUAGAGGAAGGAGAGGUCGUAACA
rnacentral:rRNA from 1 species